GCUGGGGGUAGCCGUAGCCGGGCUGCGGAGCCUGCGGCUGCUGGCCGUAGGGGCCCGGCUGGCCGUACGGACCCGGCUGCCCCGGCU
rnacentral:tRNA from 1 species